rnacentral:rRNA from 1 species
UCAUUGGGUUUAAAGGGUGCGUAGGCGGUCAUAUAAGUCAGUGGUGAAAUACUUCAGCUCAACUGGAGAAAUGCCAUUGAUACUGUAAGUCUUGAGUACAGUAGAGGUAGGCGGAAUUUACGGUGUAGCGGUGAAAUGCUUAGAUAUCGUCAAGAACACCGAUAGCGAAGGCAGCUUACUAGACUGUAACUGACGCUGAGGCACGAAAGUGUGGGGAUCAAACAGGAUUAGAUACCCUGGUAGUCCACACUGUAAACGAUGAUUACUCGAUGUUGGCGAUACACAGCCAGCGUCUUAGCGAAAGCGAUAAGUAAUCCACCUGGGGAGUACGCCCGCAAGGGUAAACUCAAAGGAAUUGACGGGGGCCGCACAAGCGGGGAGCAUGUGGUUUAAUUCGAUGCUACGCGAGGAACCUUA